rnacentral:rRNA from 1 species
UACGUAGGGGGCGAGCGUUGUCCGGAAUUAUUGGGCGUAAAGAGCUCGUAGGCGGUUCCUUAAGUCGGGUGUGAAAUCUCAGGGCUCAACUCUGAAACUGCACCCGAUACUGGGGAACUUGAGGCAGGUAGGGGAGAUCGGAAUUCCUGGUGUAGCGGUGAAAUGCGCAGAUAUCAGGAGGAACACCGGUGGCGAAGGCGGAUCUCUGGGCCUGUUCUGACGCUGAGGAGCGAAAGCUAGGGGAGCAAACAGG